rnacentral:sRNA from 1 species
CCACCUCAGUUCUACCGGCUCCUCCAUCUCCUCCAUCCCCCCCCAUCUCCCCAUCAUCACCUCUCAUCCCCUCUCUCCCCCUCCCUUCUCCUGUUCUCUCCCGCCUACCUCUAACCUCUCGCCUCUCACUCGACCUGUCGCAAAACUCCCACCCUCCACCCACCCGCCUCACCGACUUGACUCCCGCUCUCUUCUCAUCUUCCCACCCUCCACCCUCCACCCCCCGCCAUUAUCGAACCCUCUACGUUGUUGAAGUCUCUUCGUGUUUUAUUCCACUUCCCUAGCCUACGGCUGAGGCUCCACGCGCUUGUUCCUUUAGCGUGCGACCUGGAAUUGUUCCGCUUAUCUGCUUUAAAAGCCAGUUCUGCCUCAACGACCUGGAACAAAAGUUAAUCGCUUUCCAGCAUUAAAACAGAAAAAAACAAAAGGAUUUGCACCGAAAAUAUCCGUCCACACCACUACCAAUUAUUUCUCUCUACGUUCCAAUUCCAUCUUAGCUUCUCUUUAACAUUUCAAAAUGGCAAGCAACGAAUCUCGUGACGCCGCACCGGCCGUGACCGAUGAAGUCAUGACAGACUACAGUCGCACUGAGCAGGGCGAACCUGAAGGUCCACCGAAGACUGAUGAGGAAUAUGCCCAGUCCACGCUGACCCUUCGCGCCAUUGUUUCCUCCAAAGAGGCUGGUGUAAUUAUCGGCAAAGCUGGGAAGAAUGUGGCAGACCUACGUGACGAGACUGGUGUGAAAGCUGGCGUGAGCAAGGUCGUACAAGGUGUCCAUGAUCGAGUUUUAACCGUCACUGGGCCUCUUCAAGGUACUGCCAAAGCGUACGCCAUCGUCGCCAAGGGUUUGCUUGAGGGUGCUCCUCAGCUUGGAAUGGGUGGAGUUGCUUCGAAUAACGGUACCCAUCCUGUUCGCCUACUCAUCUCUCACAAUCAAAUGGGUACGAUCAUUGGCCGUCAAGGUUUGAAGAUCAAGUAUAUCCAGGACGCUUCUGGCGUUAGGAUGGUUGCACAGAAGGAGAUGCUCCCACAGUCUACCGAACGGAUCGUCGAAGUUCAAGGUACCCCAGAAGGGAUCGAGAAGGCUGUGUGGGAAAUUGGCAAGUGUCUUAUUGAUGACUGGCAACGCGGGACCGGGACUGUCCUCUACAACCCCGCUGUUCGCGCAUCUGUAGGCGGCGGCCCACCCAAUAAUUCGCUUGGAUCUGGGGCUUCUACAGGCGGUUACGGUGGACGUUCCUACAACCGUACCGGAAAUGGUGCCGAUUUCAGCGAUCAAACGGGGGGCUAUAACCGACGUUCCAAUUCCGAUGCAACCAGCCGUGGCAUCCCACUUGUAACUGAAGACGGAGAGGAGGUCCAAACACAGAAUAUCAGCAUCCCGUCCGACAUGGUUGGUUGCAUUAUUGGUCGCGGUGGAAGCAAAAUCAGCGAGAUUCGAAGGAGCUCAGGCGCUCGUAUUUCUAUCGCCAAGGCUCCCCAUGACGAAACUGGGGAACGUAUG